CAGUGCGGGGAAUAGCCCGGGGAAACCCGGAUUAAUACCCCAUAAAAUCUUGGAGUGGCAUCAUUCUAUUAUUAAAGCUUCGGCACCUGAUGAUGGGCGUGCGGCUGAUUAGGUAGUUGGCGGGGUAACGGACCACCAAGCCAGCGAUCAGUAGAUGAUGUGAGAGCAUGAUCAGGCACACGGGCACUGAGACACGGGCCCGACUCCUACGGGAGGCAGCAGUAAGGAAUAUAGGUCAAUGGACGAAAGUCUGAACCAGCCAUGC
rnacentral:rRNA from 1 species